GCAGCGGUAGUUCAGUUGGUUAGAAUACCGGCCUGUCACGCCGGGGGUCGCGGGUUCGAGCCCCCUCCGCUGCGCCA
rnacentral:tRNA from 1 species